GAUAAAGCUGACUUUUUAUGCCAUAAGGGAUUUUAACUAAUCUGGCACUUACGCUAUUAUUAACAUGGAAUGAAUACAAAAUCCAACAUAUUUGAAGUAAGCGACAAUUCCUAUAAUGAAUUAUAUUCUGUGAUUUUAUUAAAACAAUUGCCUCACCCAUUUUUUCCAUUAUGUGAAACCUAUAAAUAUAAGUAAUGUACUAUUGACACACUUUAUGUUUUGUCGUUGUCAUAUACUUGGUGUAUUUUAUUUUUUAGAAGAAGUAAUUAAAAUGACGUAUCGUUUUUUUCUCAUUGUUUGUCUUCAGGUGUUUUAUCAGAAUGCACACUCCCAAGCCAUCAGCCCAGCCAUAGAACCUACUGAAGUUACCAUCACCAAAA